CCUACGGGAGGCAGCAGUGAGGAAUAUUGGUCAAUGGACGAGAGUCUGAACCAGCCAAGUCGCGUGAAGGAUGACUGCCCUAUGGAUUGUAAACUUCUUUUAUAAAGGAAUAAAACGAGGCACGUGUGCCUUUUUGCAUGUACUUUAUGAAUAAGGAUCGGCUAACUCCGUGCCAGCAGCCGCGGUAAUACGGAGGAUCCGAGCGUUAUCCGGAUUUAGUGGGUUUAAGGGGAGCGUAGAUGGGUUGUUAAGUCAGUUGUGAAAGUUUGCGGCUCAACCGUAAAAUUGCAAUUGAGACUGGCAGUCUUGAGUACAGUUGAGGUAGGCGGAAUUCGUGGUGUAGCGGUGAAAUGCUUAGAUAUCACGAAGAACCCCGAUUGCGAAGGCAGCUUACUAAACUGUGACUGACAUUGAUGCUCGAAAGUGUGGGUAUCAAACAGGAUUAGAUACCCCAGUAGUC
rnacentral:rRNA from 1 species